AUUUGCAAAUGCUUUUAAUUCCCUCUUGAAAUCUCCUGAAAGAGUUUCUACGUGGCUGGCUUGCGCCUGGGCGUUUGUGAGUUCGGAUUGAUCGCGGGUGUCUGGCCGUAAGCAUGCCCUGUGUGUGUGUGUGUGUGUGUGUGUGUGUGUGUGUGUGUGUGGCAGCGACUUUCCUUGUGAUCCAGGCUACAAUCCUCUCUCCUUCAAGCUUAAACAGCCCAAGACAGCCACCCCUCCUCCUCCUCCUCCUCCUCAUCCUCCAGCUCCUCCCCUCCUCCUUCUAAAAAUACUGAAGCCACAGUUCUGUUCCCAUUUUGUUUUGUUUUGAUGCACUCGGAAUAAUCACAGUAACAAGCAGGGCCUGCGAUCGCUGCCUCAUUCUGGCGCUUAGGACUUCAAGCGCUCUGAUCAGACAGCGGUCUUGGGGGAGCACGUUGUCAGCUGUGCCUGGCUCUUGCACGCAGUCCCUCACCUAGUUUACUGGUCCCCUGUUCCAGACACGGCUCCUCUCUCUCUGUCUGCUUUUCGGCUCUUUCCUGCUCUCUCACACGCUCCCUUUCUGCGCCUCUCUCUCUUUUUAUACAGGCUUGCACAGCUUGGCAGCUCUUGUUCCAGACUCCCGCCACUAUUGGUGCAAAGUGACGCCACCCUUAGCCGUAAAAAAGCGCCUCCUUCUAACACCCAGCCCUGCCCUUGAGCUCCUGCCUCCCUGCUGAGCACGCGCUGAUCCCUCGGGUCGUCGGGGUCUACAACGCUGGAGGGUUUCGGAUCGUAAUCUCCUCUCUCCUUCUGCCUUUUCAAAAUCUCUCGCGCCGAAGCCAGGUCGGAGUUGGGCCUUUUCUGAAUGAAGUGUGACGCGAUUCACUCAUUCUUGCCAGACGCCCUCCGUUAUCCAGAGAAUAGAGAGACUUUUUU
rnacentral:lncRNA from 1 species